rfam:Triticum urartu cultivar G1812 contig737052, whole genome shotgun sequence.
AUAUCUUUCUCGGCCUGUUGGCUAAGAUCAAGUGUAGUAUCUGUUCUUAUCAGUUUAAUAUCUGAUAGUGAAUCUUCGGAUUCACAUGAUAUUAAUUUAAAUUUUUUGUGGGGAAGGGCCCAUCAUAGUGGCUUGCUGCUAGGGCUCUCAAGCGUUGCUCGGGCUUUGCACUAUAGCCCUUGGCUUACGCACCCCAA